rnacentral:rRNA from 1 species
GACGAACCGUGCGAACGUUGUUCGGAAUCACUGGGCUUAAAGGGCGCGUAGGCGGGCUGUCAAGUCUGGGGUGAAAUCCCACGGCUCAACCGUGGAACUGCCUCGGAUACUGACGGCCUCGAGGGAGGUAGGGGCGUGCGGAACUGUGGGUGGAGCGGUGAAAUGCGUAGAGAUCCGGAGGAACACCAAAGGCGAAGGCAGUGUCCUGGGGAGUACCUGACGCUCAGGUGCGAAAGCCAGGGGAGCGAACGGG